AAAGUGGUAGCUCAGUUGGAAGAGUGUUUGCCCAACACGCAAGAGGUCGCAAGUUCAAAUCUUGCCCACUUUC
rnacentral:tRNA from 1 species